rnacentral:pre_miRNA from 1 species
UAGGUACUCCCUCUGUUCGAAAUUACUUGUCUCGAAAAUGGAUGUAUCUACAACUAAAAUACGUCUAGAUACAUUCAUUUCCGCGACAAGUAAUUCCGAACGGAGGGAGUAAUCC